UUUUCAGCCUAGUGACCGGGGGCACCGGCGUUUGGAGAGUCAGCACGGAGGCACCAUGAAGGCAAAUCGCUGCAGGAGAGCUCCGUGAGACAGAAGCCGGCCUCUCCCCGGGGGACGUCCUGGCGAGAGCAGCAGCCUGGACACGGGGACAGGCCGAUGCACAAGAGCCGGCCCCUCUGUGAGCUUGGCAAAACUCUCCAGCAGGUGCCCGGUAAGUGCCGUGUGGACACGCGGAUGCAGGGUCUCAGAGGAGGCCUCUCCCUGGGAAGGCCGGGACACCGGGCCCAGCAGGCAGGCCUGGCACUGGGCAGUGAUAGCUGUCCAGACGGGGGCCUCUGCCUCCCAGCUGCCCUCCUGGGGUGGGGCCCAUCGCACCCCACAGCAGCACAGAACGGACCCCGAGUGCCACAGCCGAGUCCCGUGCUGGGGCGGGUUCCCACGUGCCCCCCCCAGCAGAAAUGAGGGUGCACGUCAUCCAGUGGCUGAAGCUCUGUGGCUUCGGGCGACGCUGGCGCCGUGGGGAGCCUUUGGGGAAGGAGGGUGCCCAGGGCUCUGCCUGCCGAGCUCUGGUUCGCUGUGUUUUCCUAGGCUUUGCCCCUUCCCCAGGGUCCACAGCCAUCAAGAGCCCCGCCCAGAGCAGCUGGGAGCAGGAAGGACGGAGGAAGUGGGAGGAAGGGGUUCACGGGGGCCGCCCCCGCCUGCCCAUCACGCGUCGGGGCGGGAGCUGCCACGGGAGCCUCACGCCCAGCCUCCUGCUUGCACACUGGAGACACGGGGCUGGGCCUUCACCCUCUCCUGGUCCCUGGGACCCUCCUGUUUAACACAGGGGGGGCAAGAGGCAGCUGGCCCACCCCGUCCCUGACCCGGGGUUACAAGGGUAACAGCAUUUGAAGCUCUCUUCUUCCUCAGGCGGGCGCUGGCCGGAGCAGGGCUCGCUCAGCCGGCAGGUGCCGCUGGACGGGCAGGUGAGUGGGCACAGCCUGUGUGUGCAGCCACGGCGCCAGGACAUGGGGAAUGAACGCGACCUCCCCUGGCCCCAGACCAGUGCAGACCAUGGCCAAUCCAGGAGGACACGCUGGGCCUGGGCCCCGCCUGCUGCUGGGUGCCUUUGCAACCCGGGGCCGGGCACUAGCUCGGCUCCGCACCCAUCCUCUGGGGCCCCCUCGGCUGUGAGGAGCCCUGCAACGUCAGGCUGCCUGGUCACCCUGGUCACCGCCCCCGGGGAUGUGCACAGGGAAGGAACGGGCACACCGAGAAGGGACUCUGCGGUCUGAGCCGGCAGUCCCUCUCCCUGGGAGCGACGUCACCAACAGCCCAGGACACGUGACCGAAAACAGUGGUCCGAGAGCUCCAGAACGCACCGGGCAGACCUGGAGACAGGAUGGCGGCAGCGGCGCUGGGAUCCUGAGGUGGAGCCGCGGGGUCUCCCAGGAGGCGGCGGGCCUGGGCGAGAUGGACGUGCAUUUUCCAUGAACUUUUCGAAGACACUUCAAAGCUGAAUUACAUAAAGCUCUCCUACAUUAGGGGCCUGCAUUGUGCCACAGUGGGUCAAGCCACUGCCUGCGCCCCCAGCAUCCCACUGAGUGUCCGUUUGAGUCCCAGGAAGGCCAGGAUGCCGUCUGCGGGCAGAGGGAGGCCGGCCGGGCUCAGGGUCUCCGCCCGGUGAGGGGAGCGAGGGGCCAGCAUCAGCCCACACCAGCCACUCCUGCGCUCCCUGGUGCCCAGGUACGGCAAGAAAGGGGUGACAGCCGAGGGCCCUGUGAUAAAUGCCAAGCUGCCGAAAGCUCCUGACACUGCCCGGCUGCCGACAAAAGCCGCCAUUACUGCCGAGGCCACCAGGAAGGUCAACACGCCCACCCGAAGCCGACAACCAGGCUGCUCUGACGGCUACAGCAGCGGCUCGUGGGGAGAGACCCCACCCUUCUCUGUGACGUGGCUCCUGUGUAUUCAGACCUCGAAACCUCUCAGCUCCAACUGUAGGGGGCAUCUAGGGAGGGCUCACGGUGGUCUCUGGAUGGGAAACUUAGACCCCCUCUUCUAUCCAGGUCAUCUUCCUAAAAACCUCCAUUCUCUCCAUCACUCACACCCAGGUUCUCUUCUCCACUUCCUGAGGUCACACACACCAGACUCCACCACAGGAGAAACUGCCCAACAUCUCAGACCUGCAGCACCUGCCAGACCAUCACCCCAACUCUAGCACCAGCGCACCCCUCUCCCCACCCCACUCCCCAGGCCCGCGAAGGCUCCUGGGCGGGGGGACCGCAGCCUGACUUCACCCAGACGCCCCCCGCUAGGGGAACACGACACUCCUGGGGACGGUGCACACCCUCUCGGGGUGGGUGGAAGCUCCCACCAUUCCCAUACACUACUAAAUGAUAUUACCCCAAGAUUUAAUUACCGCCUUCCAUCCAGACAAUGGACCGGCGUUUACCUCUCUGAUGACUCGAAUGGCAGCUGCCUCUCCACAUCUCACGGCUGUCACACUCCCUGUCUUCCCCCUCUUCAGGAAAAGUAGCCCGGACUAAACUCUGCGCCCAGGACCACCGAGACGGGGGCAGACUCCCUCCUUCGGCUCUGGUAACAAUCACAUCUCUUCCCCGGAUGCUGCGAGCGCCCAGCCGGUUUGAACUUCUCUGUGGAAGCCUCUGCCUCCCCUACAGCGCCCUGCAGCCAUUGCCCCUCCUCUCGCUGUCCCGCACGGGCGUGCAGACACCACUACCCGCCCGCACUCUCUGCCCCCACCCCGGCUAUGUUCCCCCCUUUCAGCUUGGCGACUGGGUUUCUCCACAGUACAGUGAGGCUGCUCCGAAGCCACAGUGGAGUGGGCCCUACCAGGGGAGACUGACACCCCCACCGUGGCCAGGCUCGGAGGGCACCCCCGGGCGACACUGUACUGCGGUGGAACGAGUGGCCUCCCCCUCGUACAAGUCGACCCCACAGGACCCCCCUCUCUCCGGUGACGCGCUCACGAGGGGCGUCCACGAGGUGACUGCCGCGAGCAGUGUCCCCCGUACCUCCUCCUGUCCUCGUAGCCCUGGUCUCCUGCCUCCGCCCUGCAGGAACGCACGACCCCCGUAGCUCAAGCCGUCUCAUCUCCAGUGUAGACGCACCUCCCCCCAAGUCCUGGCUCCGGGGCUACACCCGCAUCAGCAGGAAGGAGCCACUCAGUAUCCACACUCAGGAGUGACGGCACGGGGACACAGCCGUUCUAGAUCGCUGCCCAGGAGAUGAGCAUUGGAAUAUUCCCCACCCCACCCCCCACGGCCACCCCAAAGCCCGGUUCCAGGAGUUCCCCUCUGCCCCCUACCCUAGCCCUCCUAAAAUGUAAAAAGGCCCGGCCCCUGGGCCGGGGUCUCUGCCCCGUGUUCCAUCACCCGCACACGGGCAGCUGGCCACCCACCUCUGCCGAUUUAUUUUCUCCGAGUAAAUUCAGCCUGGCUGUAUAUUCGUGCACAGGGGCGUGCGAGGGAGGGCAGAGCCCGAAGCCGACGCAGGCAGGACCUUGGAGGCCUCCAUUCGGCCACAGCCUGGGGGGCUCCCCUGUGGCCCCCAGAACUGAGAGACCAGAACCUUCCCUCAUCCCACCUGCGCGGUCUCCACACAGCGGUCCAGCGACCUGAGCCGAGACAGGAACUGGAGGGACCCGGAACCAUCGGAGUGGGGAGCCCGCGCAGGGGACGGCGCGGGGCCGGGCAGCCAGGGAGAGGGCACUCGGAGCGAGCCGGCCUGCGGCACAGCGGUCUCCCUCCAGGCUGACGACCGCGGCAUCUUUUGCCUCGUGCCCACAAUACUGUCUUGGCACAGAAUUAAAUUUUAAAAACCAAGUCUACAUUUUCACUCCCAGUGUUCAGAUUCAGCAUGGGGGCUGGCAGUGUGGCCCAACGGGCUGCACCACUGCCCACAACACCAGCAUCCCCUAUCAGCACCAGAGACAGCAGCGAACAAUGGCCCAAGCACCUGGGCCCCUGGCUUCAGCCUGGCCCAGCCAGGGGAGAGAGCCAGUGGGUGGAAGAUCUGUCUCUGUAACCCUG